rnacentral:lncRNA from 1 species
UUCGCAAGCCCGAGGAAAAGUUGAAGAAAAGUUCACAAGUCCUAUACAUGUAAGCAUUAAGUACAAGUAAACUCACAACAACUCAUCACAGAAAAUAUUAACAAUUAAUAUUAGUGAUCUACAUAUAAGCAUGCAAAAAUAUCACUAACACUAAAAGUAUCACAACUAUAUGCAGUUAGACAUGAAAUAAAAUAUCAAUUAAUAAAUCAUCAAAUAUCCAAC